UUUAAUGAUGAUAUUGGGCCUUGUGCCCUGCUAUAUUUAAACCCAGCUCUUCGAUUAUAUAUUAUUUUAAACAUGAGACAAUUAUUUAUUCUGAUA
rnacentral:snoRNA from 1 species